rnacentral:rRNA from 1 species
UGGAGGGGGAUAACUACUGGAAACGGUGGCUAAUACCGCAUAAUGUCGCAAGACCAAAGAGGGGGACCUUCGGGCCUCUUGCCAUCAGAUGUGCCCAGAUGGGAUUAGCUUGUUGGUGAGGUAACGGCUCACCAAGGCGACGAUCCCUAGCUGGUCUGAGAGGAUGACCAGCCACACUGGAACUGAGACACGGUCCAGACUCCUACGGGAGGCAGCAGUGGGGAAUAUUGCACAAUGGGCGCAAGCCUGAUGCAGCCAUGCCGCGUGUAUGAAGAAGGCCUUCGGGUUGUAAAGUACUUUCAGCGGGGAGG